rnacentral:tRNA from 1 species
GCCUGAGUGGCUCAGUCGUUAAGCCUCUGACUUCAGCUCAGGUUGUGAUCUCAUGGUUGGUGAGUUCAAGUCCCACAUCAGGUG